AGAAACACGUUCGGCUGUGAGAGGAAAAAGUUAGAAAAGUGGACUGCAAUAUUAUAUUUUAAUACAUAUGCACGAAGAAAGACGAAGGAGGGGACACGCACAGGAGAAAAGAGGAGGCUGCUACAUUAUACAUUAAUACAUCUCAUGCGUGGAAAUAGAGGACAGAACACGUAGAGGAGAAGAAGCAUAGCGGACAAGAUACGCAGGCAGAGCAAGAAAGAAACGUGUCAGAAUUAGG
rnacentral:lncRNA from 1 species